AUAGAAACUUAGGAUGACUACAGUUUCAGUUGAUGCCUUGAUUGCAGGCCUGUGAAACCUACUGAAUCAGAAGCACCCAGCUCAGCUAUAGCCAGAUGACUGAACCACAAAGACUACAUGUUCGAGCAGAUUGUCACACAUCUUCAAAAUGUUUUCCAGUAUAUUUGUUUUUAAAAAUAUGUGCCUAAGUGGAUCUGGGAAGUUCAAACCUGUGUUGCUCAAGAAUCAAGUGUAUAUGCAAAUCAACUGACAAAACAAUUAUAUAUUCUACCUACACUAAGGGUAAUAUUGGAAGGACUAGCCUUGUUCUUCAAGGCAGUUGGCCACUUUAUUCCUGUCCAUCACUGCAGUGAACAACACAACUCUUCUUUUGCCCAGACAUCAUCUCAGAGUAAAAUCCUACAAUGCCUCACCUCAGGACAUGUCAUGCUUGUCGUUUUUUACACAGUGAUUAAUAGUGAUUAAUUAUUUUCCUGAGGCUCGUGAAACUGUGGGGUCUGGUUUGUGCCAAUGCAAAUGCAAUCUACAGCAGGAAACAAUUUUCUCCCUAUGGAGCAAUACUUUGACCAACAGUUCAUAAAUACUGGCAGAUAAUUUAUUCUACUCUUGUCCUGCACACACCAGUCUGAGAUAUAGUAAUUUAUAGGUGUCUUUGAAGAUGUGGCCUGUCUAAUCAGGCAAUCAGUUGCUCUUGAUAUCAAAUGGUGUCCAGAUGAAUAAUAAACCUCAACCUUCUGUUUUCUCUCAGUCUGCAUCUUUCUCUUUUUUUUGUCUUUGGUAUUACACUCCUUAUUAAAU
rnacentral:lncRNA from 1 species